rnacentral:rRNA from 1 species
CGGGUACGUUAAUAGCGUGCUCGUUUGACGUUAGCUGCAGAAGAAGCACCGGCUAACUCCGUGCCAGCAGCCGCGGUAAUACGGAGGGUGCGAGCGUUAAUCGGAAUUACUGGGCGUAAAGCGCAUGCAGGUGGUUUGUUAAGUCAGAUGUGAAAGCCCGGGGCUCAACCUCGGAAUUGCAUUUGAAACUGGCAGACUAGAGUACUGUAGAGGGGGUAGAAUUUCAGGUGUAGCGGUGAAAUGCGUAGAGAUCUGAAGGAAUACCGGUGGCGAAGGCGGCCCCCUCGGACAGAUACUGACACUCAGAUGCGAAAGCGUGGGGAGCAAACAGGAUUAGAUACCCUGGUAG